GCAACAUGUAAUUUCAAAACUAGAUAUCACUAAAUUCUACACACUGAACUAUUAAGAGCUCUGGCUGUGUUGCCUGGUUGAGGAAUAUCUUUCUGGUAUCACAACAUUUACUAAUGCACACAUUUAUACUUCUGAUUAUCCUCAUUAUGUGCUUGGUUCAUUAUACACGUUUGCUUUAAAAGGAAAACUAAUCUCUGGCCAAGGUCAAGAGUUUGUGGGGAUAUAACAAUAUCUUUGUGCAUUGCAUGAUAGUGGUGUUUAUAUGGUGUUCAGUGUAUAUAUCACCUCUUUGAUGCUUUUUUAUUUUCUCCCUGUGCACUUCUUACUGCUUAAAACCUAAUUACCUGAGUUUUCCUCUAAUGUGACUUUCAUUUGUUUGCAGAGAGGCUGUGCCCUAUCAUGUGGCUCUGGUAGCCAUACUGUGGAGCUAUGGAGCUGCUGACCUGCUUUGCCUUUUGAGGCGCAAGGCAGAGCCUAAGAGCUGCUGGACAGUUGUGCUGCAGACUGACUGAGGAGCAUGGUGAGCAGCAGGCCUCUAGGGGGCAGCAAAGGCAUUGACAUCCUGCUGGUCUGGAUGAGUGGGUAAGGUCUCAGUCCGCUAGGCUGCUGACAGUCAUCAGUACACAAUGAUUCAGUCAUGUCUGCUCAACUUGAUUAAAGCUGUAGGUAAAGUUUGUUGCAUGAAUUGUUUUUAGAACGCACAGUCUCAUACAUUUAUAGUUAAUCAUAUGGCCAAUAUGGAAUGUAGAACCUGUGGUUUUUGUUUAACUGCAUCCUAUAUUAUGUACUGAUGUUGGAAUAAAGUAUGUUGCUCCACCUCAAA